CUCCCGUCCCAACCUAGAAACCUCAACUUAGAUCUCCCAAAAAUUCUAAAAUCUCUCAAAACCGAGAUCUACUCUCUCAAAAUCUUCUAUUCUCAUAGCUCAUUUUUCAGUUUUCCCCAAAUUCCAAAUCCUAAUCCUCAAAUUCAUGAGAAACUCUUCAAAAAACAUCCUCUCCACUUAGUUUUACUUCAAUCUGUAUCCUUCUCCACCCUCUUCUUGGGGCACAGCCCUC
rnacentral:lncRNA from 1 species